rnacentral:hammerhead_ribozyme from 1 species
AUCCGGGUGACAAGUCCCAAAUAGGACGAAACGCGCGUCCUGGAU